AUGUUGGAGUGGAAGUUUUUUCUGCGUCACGGUUGUUCUCCAGCGACCACAAAAUGCAGCGCUGAGGGGACACGGCACAGAAAACCAGAAGCUGGAUCGCCGCCCUCGCCCUCUGAGCGAGGAGGUUGACUCCGUUUUAAAGAGCCACACUGGCCUAAGACAGUGGAUGGGUGUUCUCUGGCAUUCCAAAGAGGUAGGAAACACAUGCUCCCCAUGGGCACCGCUUGCACCGGACCUGAGUCACUCAAGAUCUCAGUGGCCAUCAGCCUGCCUUCCUUCCUGCCAAGCUGCCCUGUCACAAACACACUGCAAACACACUGAUAAUAAGCUCAGGAAACCCAGCGCAGAGAGGAGUGAGCGAGACGGGCAGUCGUGGUUAAAGAGACAUGGGAAUGAAAAGCAAAAUUAGCAGCGAGAAAGAGAAAGAGAUAUGAUGGAGAACAAGUGGCAGGAUAAGCAAGGGAGAAUCCAAUGCUCAAGUUACAGGAAAACCCCAAUCCCCGAGGGACAAAGAGAGAGAAAAAAAGAGAAAACGAAAGAGAAAAUGAGACAGGGUGAAGGUAAAGAAGUGUAUAUUAUGUCUCCUGUCAUCUAAUUUUUCUAUUUUCCAUCCUGUUCUUUGGUUUUCAUCUAAGCAGAACAAAAUCAUGCCCUUCAUUUCGAGAGUUGCUUUGUUCUCCCUUUUGGUCUGCGCACUCCUGAGCGUGGUCCAUCCACUCAAGUCUCUCUUUUGAAGUGGUGGAUAAAAGGGGGAUAGUGUGGAUGCCUGCCUGAUAGGGUGAGGAGUGUAGGCAUGUAGAGAACAAUGGCGCAUAGAAACAAAACCAAAAAAAUAUGUUUAUCAUAAUAGUUUGGGAGUCAUUGCACAAUUACAGCCAAAAACUAUUUGGCUGAACAAACAUGUGCAGCCUCGCCAAACAAACAGCGCUAAUAAAGCAGUAAAAAUGCCAUGGAUAUCAUGCAAGCAACACGGAGAAUCAGACCAGAUGCAGCUCACAGUGCUGCUAACUUGUAACGCCUGUGAUCUCUGAACUCCUCAAGCUGCCUGAAGAUGUUGGGUGGAGAUCAUAAGGAGUACAUGUGUUAAGGGAGUUUAUGGACAAGAUUGGAACUGACACCAGCCAUCAGGCAAAUACUGAUUAGCUUGGGCAACAGCCACAAGGGUUGACUAUCCCAGUGAUUGCUUUAAGACUUGUUCGUGCCGAAAUGUAACACUAUGUUAAACGUUUGGCUUUGAGCAUGCAGCAGACCUUUUGUGGUUUUUGACACCUUUGUAUUUAGUAGUUCUUGUUCCAGAAGACACCCGUCAGUGUCCUUCUGCCUUUAGCAACUAUUAAUUCAAGCUCUGAAGAAUGACCAUUUUUAAAAUCAGACAGGAUAUUUGCUUCCACGUGUGUGUGUGUGUGUCUUGAAAAAUGUGCCUUGAGUGCCUGUAAAUGCAGGAACAUAAAUCACAGUCACUAUUACUUGACAUUCUUACUGCUUACAGCUACAGUAAAGCCGACAGCAAUUGCCCCAUUUUUGACAAUAGGUUAGGGUUGACAAAGAUUCAUGACACUCAUAUAUUGCUCCUCGGAGCUGUCUGGU